AGAAAGGAUUCUUCUCAGAAUGGGAUGAUUCGGGCUGGAUCCAUCUCCCGAUUUACGAUCAAUCAACUUCUUAAUUGAAAUUAAAAUUUAUCAGGGGAUACACUUGUCUUUGAUAGUACAAUUUGUAUCCAUGAAGAAGAAACAGCAUAGUUUGGUUUCAAAUUUACUUGAAAACACCUACACAGAGUUGGAAGUUCCUAAAGUGUCAACAGCUGAAAUGUCCCAGGAACUGCUAACGCUUUUCAUGUAGAAUCAGAGAUGGAAAAUUACUGGAUUUAAAGAAUGAAGAAGAAGGACGGAGGGCUGAGCUCUCCGCUCAAGUGGGAACUGACCUCCGAUCCAUGUCUGUCUGUGGCGAGUGUCACAGCCCUGCAGGAAGCAACCGGGACCUAACUGGCUGCUCCGUUGGACACCUGUGGACAGAAUCUAGAAAGAAGAGGCAAUAUACCAGCACCACAAACCUCCAGGACCAAUCGUAGAACUGGCUGUAGCUCAUUAUGUAUCUCAGAAAGUGCAAGAAAAUGAUUUUAACUUACUCCAAAAAUUUAAGAAGCCUCCUAGCACAUUUUUUUUCCUUGAGUGCCAAAGUUAUAAUCUUCACACAGAAAUAAGAAGGAAGCAUGAAGCAUAUCUGCUUUAUAACAUCCCAAAAUAUAUAAUGAAAAGCGUUGAAGUGUUUCUCAAAGAACACCUGAAUAAUUUCUAAAUAAAUUAAUGGCGAAUUUAAGAAUAAUCUCCCUGAGACAUUGAAGAAUGGGAAGGGGAUUAUUUUCUGGCCUUGAAUUUUGGUUCUAAGAGGUAACUAUAAUUUUAUUUCUGCCUGUGUUUUGAUUCGUAUGAGUAUCCAAAGCCCUGACAUUUGCUUUGAGAAACUUCCAUGCCGCAAAAAAUAGACUGCAGUCCGAGUUCACCUCGGCAGUUUUUGCAUAAAGACCUUGUGGCUGUGUGGACCACAGUUAUAUAUUAAUAGGCUUUGGUGUAAUUCCAGGGCUGAAAUCCACUAAGAAAUGGCAACAAAAAAAAAAACGAUAUAACUUUCCAUCAGUUCCUACUCGGCUUGGCUUCAGAUACUGUUUUAUGAACAAUCUAAACAUCUUAUCACAUCAAUUCACAGACACCAGGGUCUCUGGGCCUGUCUACUUCCUGAGGCACAGAAGUUUAGAUAGAAAUGAUUCCUAUGGAGCAUGGAGGGUGGAAAGUGGAUGGAACGCUGCUUCAUCAGAUCAAGAUUUGCAUCACGAUUGAUUAGCUGAGUUCCCCUAGCAAGACUGUGCCCCUGGGCUUAACUAUCCCAUCUCGAAACUGGGAAUAAUAAAUAAAACCGACAUCAUGGAGGAAAACCUUUUUUUUUUUUUAGAGUGGAAGCAAGGGCACAUGAACACUGAGUUCUUUUCCUUUCUCCAUGCAUCCUGUGCAAGAUUUAAAAGGAAGUGGUGACCAGUUUACAGACCGAGUUAAUCUUGAUGUGGCCGUUUAGAAUUCAUAUUCUGUCUCUUGAGGUACAAGGACUUCUUGAACUACAACUCUCCACUGGCUUUCAUAACAUUCAGCCUGCAAAUCUCAGGAAAGAUCGGCCUGCCAAGCCGAUCACAGCUUCAACUGUGAUCAUUAGAUGCAGGCUACACUGGACCCAUUGAGCUCAGUGUUUACUCUUGAAUAUUGCUGCUUAGGGAAAGGCGGACAUGGGUGCUUUUGAUGACAACAUGAUCAAAGGCAAGGUGUUUCUCCUACAUACCUCCGAACUACUAAGGGCUGCCCGGGUCCCAGUCCAUGAAUACAACACAUCUUAUCUUCCUGUAAUCGUCUUGGUCUUUGUUUUACUAAUGUUAGAUAUGCUGCUCAAAAUCUUUGCCUAUUGACCUCAGCUUCCAAUCUCUUUCUCCUAUCACCAAACAAAAUACCCUAUAGUCCUGACCAGCCGGUUGACCCUCACAAAGGUCCUGAACACCUAUUUUUUUCUCCCAGACAACACAUUUGGAUAAUCACGAGACAGGAGCCACAGCGACUCUUACUCAAAUGACAUGUCCAGUUUAUCAUCCUUUUAGUAUCAAAGUUUUUCGGCAUUUUCCUGUUAAUUUAUGACUGAAAGUAUGCAUAGAUCUAUAUAUGUACACUGUGUCUCCAAUCAUGUAGGUCAUUUUUCAACUUUUAUUGGGUUGAUUUCAUGAAGAACUAUCGCCUCUUAUGGCUGUAAGUCAUGGGCCUAUUUGAAUUAUUCUAACCAGAACCAAGUGCAAAUGUUCACAAAACAAUCUGAGCUUAGAAUUAUAACACUGAUAUCUGAUAUAUGAAUUCCGGGUCUUAAUGAGCUUCUAGACUAUCAGAGAAGACACAACUUACAUAUCGCUGGUCAACACAAUGCCCACACAACCGACAGACGCUUUUCCAACUGGCAUUUUGAACGAAUUAUGAGGAAUGCACCCUGAACUGAGGACAGAAGGUGUCACUACAGGUGACACUUUGUGGGGCUCAAUCUGAACAGGAACAAGAAUCCUCUAAACCUAGAUCUUCCUGACUCUCUUCUCAACACAAGGCUUUACGCCUCUCAGCAGCUUCCAAUUUGAUGUAUAUCAUAGCAUUUUUUUAGACGAUUUCAUGUUCACCCUUACCUUCUCUCUUCUAGAGGCUC